rnacentral:sRNA from 12 species
AGCCUUCCAGAUGUGCGAAAGCGACCGUCCCAGUCCGGGAAACCGGAGGAUAAUGUUUUGAACAGGUGAAAAUCCUGUACGUUGUAAAGCUGGACCUGGAAACGUUAGAAAAACAGC